UUAUACAUUCCAUAUUAGGGAUGGGUGCGGAUACGCAAAAUUUUAUCCGAAUUCGAAUUCGAAUUCGAAUGGAGCGAAUUUAUUCGAUACUAAAUGGAUAUGGUUUCAGAUAUAAAUAUCGAAAAUAAAAAUCUGAGGGAUAUGAAUGUGGAUAUGGAUUUUGAUUGUACCCGGUCCGAAUUCGAACCCGACCCGAACCCGAAUUUAUUUUACAUUAUAUAUAAUAUGUAUAUAAAAAUUUGAUAUUAUAUUUGAAUUUAUAUUUUAAAAAUUUAAAUUUAAUAUAAUAUAUUUUGAAAUAUUGAAAAGAGAAAUAAUUGUUUCGGCUUCGGUUUUUCGGGUUCGGAUUUCGAAUUUUUAGUCGGGUUCAGGUUUGGAUAUGGAUUUUUAAAAUCCGUUGGGUUGGGGUUCGGGUUUGGAUUUCGGGUUUGGAGUCGGGUUUGGGUUCGGAUUUUUGAAAAUCCGCCCCGAAUCCGACCCGUUGACAUCCCUAUUAUGUACCCAAAUUAUACAAAAACAUAUAUAUUUACGUCCCCUUGCCCUCGACUCAAUCAAUUUUUCACUUUACUAAGCUUACUAUAUAGUAAUUGGCUGUCCUUAGUACAAGUAGCAAAGAAUUUGAUGAUUGGUAUUUGAGGUUCCAAAUUCGAAUCCUAAUUGAUUCACAUUUUCAAUUAAGUUAUUUUAAAAAAAAAUAAACGAAACGGGUAUUAUGCUAUUUUUUUUUAAAAAAAAAAAAAAGUUACUACAAUGCACUUCCUUAACAUAAGCCAAUCUUAGACCCUUUUUCACGUCCCUUUUGCGAAAAAUUCUAGAAUACAACGGGUAUAUUGGUGACAUAGCGAAACAAACCAAUCAAAAGUAUCUUUUUAGAGAUAUAUGUCCCAUGAUAAUUGUAAAAAAAUAUUUUUAUUGUAUUUUGUUUGAAAAGAAUGAAUGUGAUUGACUUGUUAUUAAUGACGUGGUGCAUGUAUGACAGUGUAGAAUUCCUCGCCUUUUGCACCUUGUACUUUC
rnacentral:lncRNA from 1 species